ensembl:lncRNA
AUGGGAGGGACAGAGGGGCGUUUCUACACGGACCAGAAGUCUGGCUCACAGUGGGGCGGGGGAGGGGCCAGGGUUGCUGUGACGUCGACCCCAGCAUUGAGACCCCCACAAUGCCCGCAAGGACCAGAACCUCGGGCAGCGCCAGACUCUGCAGGGUCCAAGAACAGCCAGCCUUUCCUGCCCAAGAUUGAAGGCCCUCUGCUGCAGAUCAUGGGCCGCCCCCCAUCAGAGGUUGAAGAUGCCCUUCUGGAGAAUGAAGUCCUCCCAGACAGCAUGCCGUGCUUCCCAGAGGGAGACAGUAUAAGCAACACAGAGAGGGACCAGGGCCCUUGGGAUGUGGUAUUAUCCCCUGAUGGGGAGGGAUCCACAGGGGUCGUGGACAGAAGCAAACUGCUAUGGGAGUCCAGCCUGGCCCCCAUCUCUGAGGCCUUGGGGACCCCAACCACAGACCACCCUGCUAGCUGUAACUGUGGGCAGCUGGGACCCAUAGCACUCUUCUCUCUCCCGGAGGCCACGGAGCCAGUGUCACAAAACUCCUCCCAGAGCCCUCAGGUUUUGCCCACCCCCCCCAAACAAAAUGAUUGGAGGAUGGACAAAGAAGAGAAAAAAGACCCUGAGCUGAUGAGCUCCUACCCAAUGAGGCCUGACCCUGCCAGACAUAUUUGGCCCAAGAAUCGAAUGUGCCAGGCAUAUAACGGAGCCCCAGAGGCAGGCAGACCCACAUCGGGAUGCCGGGGACCUCAGGCUUUCAGUUAUACAGACUCUGGUGAAGCACGGGCCCUGGUGCCACCUCAGCUAGACCUGAGCUCCACACAAGGGUGUGCUACUCCAAAGCCCUGUUGUGAAUGGCCAGAAGAGAUCCCAUAUCCACACAGAGGGACCUAAGCUGAUGGAGGGCACAGGAAGAUAUACCAAAUGGCAAAUCUGUAGUUUACUCCCCACUUCUGGAUAAUAGAAUCAAAGUAGAUUGAGGAAGUAACUUGCAUCUAAGGGUGGUGUUCCAGGGAAAGGAGCAAUUAGGACCCCCACUCCUACCCCCCAGCCUGUUUACUGAGCAAGGAGCAAGUUAAGAAGCAAAUAGCAGUUGUGAGGCUCACACCCCAGGAAUAGAAUGGGGUCUCAAUUCCAACUCCUGCAGAGGAAUAACUAAGGCAAUAAUCCUAGACCAAAAGGAAGGUGACAGUUGUCACUGUGAACCAGCAGAGUUUUCUAGCUGAUUCAUAAUGGUUGAGUUCAGCAUCAGUCUCCUGGAACUCUAAAUGAGGCAAGCCCACAGAUGUGCUGCUCAGAUCCAAACCCAGGUCAGGUACUUGUAGAAUUCAGAUCAUUGGGGCAGCAAUCACACUUUGUCCCAGAUCAGACCACUUUGGGAACAUUGAAAUCUUUUCUUCAUUAAAAAACAAAACCACCUCAUCUUUAAAAGAAGGCAAUUGGAACCAGUGAGACUUUUGAGCAACAGAAUGGAAUCUCUGCUUCUGAAAGGUCAUCUCUGGCAACAAUAAGAAAGAGAGCCUGGAGGGAGGAGAGAAUGAAGGUAGCAACACUUGUAAGGAUAUCAGUACUUUAUUUGCCACUAGUUCUCUAUACAGGUCCUUUUGUUUUUUUAAAUUUAGUCAAUUUAGAGCAUUAUUCUUUGGUUACAAGAAUCAUAUUCUUUCCCUCCCUCCCCUCCCUUACCGCUUCCUAUAGCCCACGCACAAUUCCACUGGGUAUUAAAUAUGUCCUUGAUCAGAACCCAUUUCCAUGUUGUUGAUGUUUGCACUAGGAUGUUCAUUUAGAGUUGAUAUCCCCAAUCAUAUCUCCAUCAACCCAUGUAAUCAAGCAGUUGUUUUUCUUUGGUGUUUUUACUCCCCAGUUUUUCCUCUGAAUGUGGAUAGUAUUCUUU